GACGAACGCUGGCGGCGUGCUUAACACAUGCAAGUCGAACGGUGAAGCGCUUUCCUUUUUGGUUGGUGUGGAUGAGUGGCGAACGGGUGAGUAACACGUGAGUAACCUGCCCCCUUCUUCUGGAUAACCGCAUGAAAGUGUGGCUAAUACGGGAUAUUCUGCGCCUGCUGCAUGGUGGGUGUGGGAAAGAUUGUGCCUUUGGGUGUUUUCGGUGGGGGAUGGGCUCGCGGCCUAUCAGCUUGUUGGUGGGGUGAUGGCCUACCAAGGCGGUGACGGGUAGCCGGGCUGAGAGGGUGGACGGUCACACUGGGACUGAGACACGGCCCAGACUCCUACGGGAGGCAGCAGUGGGGAAUAUUGCACAAUGGGCGCAAGCCUGAUGCAGCGACGCCGCGUGAGGGAUGGAGGCCUUCGGGUUGUGAACCUCUUUCGCCAGUGAAGCAGGCCUGCUCCUUGUGGGUGGGUUGACGGUAGCUGGAUAAGAAGCGCCGGCUAACUACGUG
rnacentral:rRNA from 1 species